UAGAAAAUUGUUCAAAAAAAUAAUUAGGUUAGAUAUGCACCGUAUAUGUUACGAAAAAUUCUAAAAUGCAACGGGUAUAUUAGUGACGUGACGUAACAAACCAAUCAAAUUAAUUCUUUUAAGAAUAUAUGUCCCAUCAUGAUUGUAAAAAAGUAUUUUUAUUGUACUUUUGUUUAAAAAGAAGGAAUAUGAUUGGCUUGUUAUUGAUGACGUGGUGCAAGUGUGACAGUGUAGAAUUCCUCAUAUUUUGCUAGUAUUUUGAUCGUCACUU
rnacentral:lncRNA from 1 species